rnacentral:tRNA from 1 species
CGGGGUGUUGCGUAGUUGAUAGCGCGCCUGCUUUGGGAGCAGGAGGCCCGGGGUUCGAGUCCCCGCACUCCGACCA